GACGAACGCUGGCGGCGUGCCUAAUACAUGCAAGUAGAACGCACAGUUUAUACCGUAGCUUGCUACACCAUAGACUGUGAGUUGCGAACGGGGGAGUAACGCGUAGGUAACCUGCCUGGUAGCGGGGGAUAACUAUUGGAAACGAUAGCUAAUACCGCAUAAUAUUAAUUAUUGCAUGAUAAUUAAUUGAAAGGUGCAAUUGCACCACUACAAGAUGGACCUGCGUUGUAUUAGCUAGUAGGUGAGGUAACGGCUCACCUAGGGGACGAUACAUAGCCGACCUGAGAGGGUGAUCGGCCACACUGGGACUGAGACACGGCCCAGACGCCUACGGGAGGCAGCAGUAGGGAAUCUUCGGCAAUGGACGAAAGUCUGACCGAGCAACGCCGCGUGAGUGAAGAAGGUUUUCGGAUCGUAAAGCUCUGUUGUAAGAGAAGAACGGGUGUGAGAGUGGAAAGUUCACACUGUGACGGUAUCUUACCAGAAAGGGACGGCUAACUACGUG
rnacentral:rRNA from 1 species